GUGCUCAGUUUUACUGUUUAGAUUAAAUCGAGCGCUUGCAAACUUCCCAUCAUUCUGAUUACGGUAGUCAUUUUGUCAUACUGAUUCCUGGGGGUACAACAAAGUAUUUGCAGCCACUCGACAUCAGUGUAAAUCGUGCAUUUAAGGUGGCGCUCCGUGUUCAGCGGGAGGCUUGGAUGACAAGUGGGGAGAAAUCCUUCACUAAAACGGCCCGCAUGCGAAGAGGAACUUAUGGUCAAUUCUGCCAGUGGGUCCUGACAGUGUGGAGCAUUGUCAAAAAAUCCACUAUCAUCAACGGGUUUCGAAAGGCUGGACUGCUGCGUGUUGAAGAGGGCUUAGCGGGGGAUUUGCCUCCGGAUGAAAGUGACGAGAGCGACAAUGAAAACGAUCCAAUAUCGGAUGAAGCAAUUCUGAGGGGGUGGGUAUAAUUUGUGGAACGUUCCAACAGGAAUCCGUUCCAAAAACUUCGUAAAUAACAAGGUUGCCAAAAGACAACGUAUACAAAGUUGUAUACCGGCAGAAUAAGAUACCGGGUAGUGAGUGGUCUAUUUCAUUGCGUUUUUCACUCAUCACGUUUAUUCCGAAAAAUGUCUGUCCUCACUCUGGUUGCCUAUGGACAAACAUUAAGAAUAAGCUACGUGGUGAGUUGAUGCCUAUUUGGCAGCUAGUUAGCUAGGUUUGUAUGCGUUGCUACUUUGUAUGCGUUGUUGGUUGGCAACCUUUUACUUUACGUUUUUUGGAACAGAUUCCUGUUGGAACGUUCCACAAAUUAUACCCCCCCAUUCUGAGGCUAUUCAACUCCGACACCGAAGGAGAUGGUUUCUGUGCACAGGAUGAGGAAGAUAGUGACCAAUGACAUUCUUGGUUUUGACCAUUCCUGCCUGCUCUGACCCUGAGCCUGCCUGCUCCUUUGCCUCCACUCUGGAUUACCGACCUCUGCCUGACCUGACCCCUCCUGGUUUUCCGGUGCCAUACACCCUGUCUGGAUUAUUGACCCAUGCCUCCCUUGACCUGUUCUUUUCCUGCCCCUGUUUAAAGAAUAAACUUCUGUUUCUUCAACACUGUCUGCACCUUGGUCAUACCUUAAAAUGUGAUACAUAAUUUAAUCACCCCACGACUUCAUAGAAAUGAAGGACUCUUUACAUUUACGUAUCCUAGAGAUGACAUUUUUAAGCUUCCUUUUUGACCCAUUAGCCUAUUCAUUCAACCGUGUGCAGGUUUUCUGUAAUUUACCUUUUAGUGCCCCACACAGGUGCAACAAUUCCUGUGUCAGUUAAAAAAAUUAUGUAACCAGGCAAGGUCAG
rnacentral:lncRNA from 1 species